rnacentral:snRNA from 1 species
GUGCUUGCUUUGGCAGCACAUAUGCUAAAAUCGAAACGAUACAGAGAUUAGCAUGGCCCCUGUGCAUGGAUGACACACAAAUUCGUGAAGCACUCCAUAUUUUA